rnacentral:sRNA from 1 species
AAUCAAGAGUUCACUGAUGACAUUGAGUACUUGUUAAGUGGCUUAAAGAGCACUCAGCCUCUAAACACACGUUGCCUUAGUGUUAUUAGCUUGGCUACUAAAUGUGCCAUGCCCAGUUUUCGAAUGCACCUGAGAGCACAUGGGAUGGUAGCAAUGGUCUUUAAAACCUUGGAUGAUUCCCAGCACCAUCAGAAUCUGUCCCUCUGUACAGCUGCCCUCAUGUAUAUACUGAGUAGAGAUCGUUUGAACAUGGAUCUUGAUAGAGCUAGCUUAGAUCUAAUGAUUCGACUUUUGGAACUGGAACAAGAUGCUUCGUCAGCCAAGCUACUGAAUGAAAAAGACAUGAACAAAAUUAAAGAAAAAAUCCGAAGGCUCUGUGAAACUGUACACAACAAGCAUCUUGACCUAGAAAAUAUAACGGUGGGUUCCUUCUUCCUUCCUUCUAAGAUGAGAAUUACUUUCAGAAAGUCUUUGGUUAGUUGCAGUAGCUGUGUGACUGUGGGCAAAUUAUUUUAAUUCUAACCUUGGUUUACAGUUUGGCAAAUUUCUUAGGUUUAGAUCUGAGCAUAAUUUCAUUCCUUGCCUGAACUUCCUAAACUAGUUUUUCUGUAUUUAGGCUUUUUGCCCAAUAAAUAGUUGCACAUUU